GAGAGAUUAGAAAGAAAGAGGGGAGUGAGAUAAAUUAGAAAGAGGGAGAUAGGAGAGAGAGAAAGAGAGAGGAGAGAGAGAGGAGAGAGAAAAAUAGAAAACGAGAGAGAGGAGAGAGAGAAAGAGAAAAAGAGAGAGGGGAGAGAGAGCGAGAGAGAGAGAGCAAGAGGAGAGAAAGAGAGAGUAUUAUUAUAGUCUGAUAUAGCUCCAGUAGCAGGCUACAGCAGGAUAGGCUGAGGCAGCAGUGAUAAGAGUGGGGUCUGCUACAGCAGGAUAGGUUGAGGCAGCAGUGAUAAGAGUGGGGUCUGCUACAGCAGGAUAGGUUGAGGCAGCAGUGAUAAGAGUGGGGUCUGCUACAGCAGGAUAGGUUGAGGCAGCAGUGAUAAGAGUGGGGUCUGCUACAGCAGGAUAGGUUGAGGCAGCAGUGACAAGAGUGGGGUCUGCUACAGCAGGAUAAAUUGAGGCAGCAGUGAUAAGAGUGGGGUCUGCUACAGCAGGAUAAAUUGAGGCAGCAGUGAUAAGAUUGGGGUCUGUUACAGCAGGAUAAAUUGAGGCAGCAGUGAUAAGAUUGGGGUCUGUUACAGCAGGAUAGGUUGAGGCAGCAGUGAUAAGAGUGGGAUCUGCUACAGCAGGAUAGGUUGCGACAGCAGUGAUAAGAGUGGGGUCUGCUACA